CGGCAGUGGGAGGAACCCAGGGAGUGGAGGGAGUUCGUGUUAUACUUGGAGACACCGAAGCCAAAGGAACCCUACAUCUGGACUCAGUCAGUUGAACUCAGGCUUAGGGUUGGGGAGGAGAAUAAGCUUUAGCUCCUAGGGCUCUCCUUCCGCCAUUAGAAGCUUUGUUUGGAUUAAAUGUGCAUUAGUGUUAGUCACUCCAUCACGUCUGACUCUGCAAUCCCAUGGACAGUAUCCCACCAGGCUUCUCUGUCCAUGGAAUUCUCCAGGCAAGAAUCCUGGAGUGGGUUGCCAUUCCCUUCUCCAGGUAAUCUUCCUAACCCAGGGAUCCAACCUGGGUCUCUGCAUUGCAGACACAUUCUUUACCAACUGAGCCACCAGGAAAGCCCUUUGUUUAGAUUCAGUUCAGUUCAGUUCAGUCGCUCAGUCACAUCCAACUCUGCGACCCCAUGGACUGUAGCACAUCAGGCUUCUCUGUCCAUCACCAACUCCCGGAGCUUACUCAAACUCAUGUCCAUUGAGCUAGUGAUGCCAUCCAACCAUCUCAUCCUCUGUUGUCCCCUUCUCCUCCCGCCUUCAAUUAUUCCCAGCAUCAGGGUCUUUUCAAAUUAGUCAGUUCUUCACAUUGGGUGGCCAGAGUAUUGGAGUUUCAGCUUCAGCAUCAGUGCUUCCAAUGAAUAUUCAGGACUGAUUUCCUCUAGGAUGGACUGGUUGUAUCUCUUUGCUGUCCAAGGGACUCUCAAGGGUCUUCUCCAACACUUCAGUUCAAAAGCAUUAAUUCUUUGACGCUCAGCUUUCUUUAAAGUCCAACUCUCACAUCCAUACAUGACUACUGGAAAAAAACAAAGCUUUGACAAGACAAACCUUUGUUGGCAAAUUAAUGUCUCUGCUUUUUAAUAUGCUUUCUAGGUUGGUCAUAACUUUUCUUCGAAGGAGCAAGUGUCUUUUAAUUUCAGGUCUGCAGUCACCAUCUGCAGUGAUUUUGGAGCCCCCCAAAUAAAGCCUGUCCCUGUUUCCAUUGUUUCUACAUCUAUUUCCCAUGAAGUGAUGGGACCAGAUGCCAUGAUCUUAGUUUUCUGAAUGUUGAGCUUUAAGCCAACCUUUUCACUCUCCUCUUUCACUUUCAUUAAGAGGCUCUUUAGUUCUUCGUUUUCUGCCAUAAGAGUGGUGUCAUCUGCAUAUUUGAGGUUAUUGGUGUUUCUCCUGGCAAUCUCGAUUCCAGCCUUGUGCUUCAUCCAGCCCAGCAUUUCUCAUGAUGCACUUUGCAUGUAAGUUAAAUAAGCAGGGUGACAAUACACAGCCUUGACGUACUCCUUUUCCUAUUUGGAACCAGUCUGUUGUUCCAUGUCCAGUUCUAACUGUUGCUUCCUGACCUGCAUACAGGUUUCUCAGGAGGCAAGUCAGGUGGUCUGGUAUUCCCAACUCUAAGGAUGUCCCACAGUUUGUUGUGGUCCACACAGUCAAAGGCUUUGGAUUAAAGAGAAGAUAAAAGCAAAACAGGAAGUCUGAUGUGAUCCUGGCUGAUUUGAGACAUCAGGGUCUUUUCUAAUGAGUCAGUUCUUCGCAUCAGGUGGCCAAAGCAUUGGAUUUUCAGCUUCAACAUCACUCCUUCCAAGGAACAUUCAGGACUGAUUUCCUUUAGGAUGGACUGGUUGGAUCUCCUUGCAGUCCGAGGGACACUCAAGAGUCUUCUCCAACACCACAGUUCAAAAGCAUCAAUUCUUCAGUACUCAGCUUUUUUUAUAGUUCAACUCUCACAUCCAUAUAUGACUACUGGAAAAACCAUAGCUUUGACUAGACAGACCUUUGUCAGUAAAGUAAUGUUUCUGCUUUUUAAUAUGUUGACUAGGUUGGUCAUAGCUUUUCUUCCAAGGAGCAAGCGUCUUUUAAUUUCAUGGCUGCAGUCACCAUCUGCAGUGAUUUUGGAGCCCAGGAAAAUAAAGUCUGUUACUGUUUUCCAUUGUUUCCCAUGUGUUUGCCAUGAAGAGAUGGGACCAGAUGUCAUGAUCUUAGUCUUUUAAAUGUUGAGUUUUAAGCUAGCUUUUUCACUCUCCUCUUUCACCUUCAUCAAAAGGCUCUUUAGUUCCUGUUUGCUUCCUGCCAUAAGGGUGGUGCCAUCUGCGUUUCUGAGGUUAUUUAUGUUUCUCCUGGCAAUCUUGAUUCCAGCUUGUGCUUCAUCCAGCCCAGCAUUUCUCAUUAUGUACUCUGCAUAUAAGUUAAAUAAGCAGGAUGACAAUAUACAGCCUUGACGUACUCCUUUGCCAGUUUGGAACCAGUCUGUUGUUCCAUGCCCAGUUCUAACUGUUGCUUCUUGACCUGCAUACAGAUUUCUCAGGCAGGUCAGGUGGUCUGGUAUUCCCAUCUCUCUAAGAAUUUUCCACAGUUUGUUGUGAUCCACACAGUCAAAGGCUUUAGUAUAGUCAAUGAAGC
ensembl:lncRNA